ensembl:lncRNA
AAUCUGGUCCUGAAUCCACAGUUGAUAGAACAUACACAUGGAUGAAACACUAAUCAGUGAGAGUCAACAUGGAUUUAUCUGUAAGCAGUGUGCUACUUAGAUGCCGUGUGGACAUCACACUCACAUUAUUCAUCCAUGGUCCUCUCUCUUUAUUUUUUGGCUGCAGUAAGCAUGUGGGAUCUUAGUUUCCCAACCAAAGAUUGAACCUGUGCCCCCUGCAUUGGAAGCUCAGAGUCUUAACCACUGGACCACCAGGGAAGACUCCAUGGUCCCCUUUCUUGAAGACCCAGGCCCAAGUCUAAAGAGCAGGAGGAGGAUUUGAGUGUCCCUCUAGUCUGUUAGGGACUGACCCUGUGAGAGACUGAUAAAACACCUUCGGAGGUCCUGGUAGCCUUUAAGCCAACAAGAGCCUCACAGAGACUGAAGGCAGUGGUUGUGGAAGGAAGCACAGCAUCCUGAACCAUGAAGCCUUUUCAAGUGGCUCUUCAAUGUGAUGGGACUCCAGCAGCUCCUGCUCAGAUGUCAAAGGCAUGAGGACAUCAGAUCUACCACUGUGUCUCCAAGACCUGGCUCUUUGUGAACACGCGAGUUCCCAAAAUAGAAUAGCAGCUCUUCUCCCCACGCCUGAUCUACUCAGCUUGCCACCUCUAUUCGGCAAAUAUGAUUGA